ACACACACAGAGAGAGAGAGAGAGAGAGAGAGAGAGAGAGAGAGAGAGAGAGAGAGAGAACUUACUAGAAAACAUGAACGCUGACCCUGUGAUCCCUAACCUUCCUACAUACCUGCUGCCUAUUGAAGAGAAGCAUAGAGGCAUAUCUGAAUGCAGAAACUGGAGCCUACUCCUCACUUACAGAAUUACAAGAAAUAUUCUGACAAACAGAAACAAGCCAAGUGCACCCAAAUGACACAUGAUGACCGCUAUCAAGCCGGCUCAACAAACAAUUCUGUUUCUCUCCUGAAUCAGCUGUAGAUCAUGUGGGUAAGGACACUCAGGAAGUUGGAAUCACCUGAGAGCAUUAAUCCAGCAUUACUAAUCACCAGGAGUUUUAUCUGCCGAUCACAUUGUCCCUGCAACCAUCAUUUCCAAACCUGAUUUACACAGACUCCCCUGGAGAGCUUUUUAAAAACAGAUUUCAGGUCCUACUCCCAGAACUACUGCAACAGAGUCUCUAAGGCUGGAGCCCAAGAAAUUGCAGGUUCCAAAUGCUCCCCAGGUGAUUCUAAAUGCAACUGUCAGUUCAUGAGUUCACAAGCGGGACCCACUGGAGGAUCACAGCUGUAUCUCGUUGAGAAGGGUACACAGAUUCAAAAUUUUUACAUUCCGUCCGGCACUGCUUAUAAGAGAUGUGGCUUCAGCUCCAGAUCAUCAAAGAUAAGGAAACUGUACCUCAUACUUUAAAAAAGCUUCAGAAUGACUCCCAUACCCUUUAGAUCCAGCAAUUCUACUUUCAGGCAUCCUGGAUAGUUGGCCAUCUGACCCUUCCUUCGUGUACUCCAGUGUUUGUGAGGACAGUAUUUGUUAUGCACACUUGGAGCUGGCAGAGUUGCCACGCAUCAUUUUAAGUAAAAGAUAAAAUAAAAAGUGCUCCCGGAAUGUCCUGGAAGAGUAAAAGGAAAAGUGAGACAUUGACGAAAUGGCAGGAAGUAGAAGUCUGUGUGUCACCUGUGAGUCUUCCUGAGAGGCUGGAGACAAGGAAGAAAAGCAGCACUGCUGAAUCGGAACUUCCUAGCAUGUGAUUUGCCCUGUAUUGAGA